UCGAGAAUCUUCCGCAAUGGACGAAAGUCUGACGGGGCGACGCCGCGUGAACGAAGAAGGCCUUCGGGUUGUAAAGUUCUGUCAGGAGGGAAGAAAUGUGGCAGUAAAGCUGUCACUUGACGUUACCUCUGGAGGAAGCCCUGGCUAACUCCGUGCCAGCAGCCGCGGUAAUACGGAGAGGGCAAGCGUAGUUCGGAAUCACUGGGCAUAAAGCGCACGUAGGCGGAUUGGAUAGUCGGUUGUGAAAGCCCGGGGCUCAACCCCGGAACUGCUUCCGAAACUGCCAGUCUGGAGGACAAGAGGGGAGAGUGGAACUUCUGGUGGAGCGGUGAAAUGCGUAGAUAUCAGAAGGAACACCGGUGGCGAAAGCGACUCUCUGGCUUGUUUCUGACGCUGAGGUGCGAAAGCUAGGGGAGCGAACGGGAUUAGAUACCCGCGUAGUCC
rnacentral:rRNA from 1 species